AGCCCUGGCCGCCUCUCCUGAUGACUCUUCUCUUCCUGACUGGCUCCAGUGAUGAGUAAACCUGAGCCUCUAAGAAGUUGACUGAAGAGGCCGCGGGGGA
rnacentral:snoRNA from 13 species